rnacentral:tRNA from 31 species
GGGCCAUUAGCUCAAUUGGCAGAGCAGCGGACUUUUAAUCCGUUGGUUGUCGGUUCGAGUCCGACAUGGCCUACCG